GGGCGUAUGGUCUCAAUGGUAAGAUACUUGUGGUGUGAUCUUCUGAGGCGUACCUCCUCGUAGGUCGUGUGCAUCCAGUUGUGGAUGUCCAGGAUGAGCUACCACGAGUGAUGUCGGUUCGAGUCCGACUGCGUCCA